AACGAACGCUGGCGGCAUGCCUAACACAUGCAAGUCGAUCGGGAUCUUCGGGUCUAGUGGCGCACGGGUGCGUAACGCGUGGGAAUCUGCCCUUUGGUUCGGAAUAACAGUUGGAAACGACUGCUAAUACCGGAUGAUGACGAAAGUCCAAAGAUUUAUCGCCAGAGGAUGAGCCCGCGUAGGAUUAGCUAGUUGGUGUGGUAAAGGCGCACCAAGGCGACGAUCCUUAGCUGGUCUGAGAGGAUGAUCAGCCACACUGGGACUGAGACACGGCCCAGACUCCUACGGGAGGAAGCAGUGGGGAAUAUUGGACAAUGGGCGAAAGCCUGAUCCAGCAAUGCCGCGUGAGUGAUAAGGCCUUAGGGUUGUAAAGCUCUUUUACCCGGGAUGAUAAUGACAGUACCGGGAGAAUAAGCUCCGGCUAACUCCGUGCCAGCCGCCGCAGUAACAC
rnacentral:rRNA from 1 species